AAAUUAUGUAUAAUUCUAUAAAAUUGGUUGUAUACAUAGUUUUGUUUAUAUGCUGUUGUGUUGAGUUUAGUUUGCAUUAAUGUAGGAAUAGAUUUUUUGUAAAUAGAAUAGCAUAGGAAAAGUUAGCAGUUUCUAUAGUGGUAAGAUGCUUUGCAGUUUUUCUUUCACUUUAUAUAUGUGUGUGUGUGUGUGUGUGUGUGUGUGUGUGUAUAUUUCUUUUUAAUAUAUAUUUUGUAUAUAUAUAAAACACCCUGAUCCUACCAGUUAAAAAGCCAAAAUCGGAUGAAAAUGACAAACCAAUCAAUUUGUGCAAGAUCUGAGGGCCUUAAAUAAUCAUGUGGUAAAAUGGCAUGCAGUGGUACUGAAUCCAGCCACAAUCAUAUCAUCAAUUCCCAGCAAUGCAAAAUUUUUCACCAUUGUAGAUCUCUGUUCUGUAUUUUUUUUCCAUCCUGAUUUCAUGAGGAUUCCCAAAAGAUCUUUGCAUUCACCUGGAGCAGUAUUAAAUACUCCUGGGGGCAUCUGUCCCAGGGGUUCUGCAAAAGCCCUUUGUUGUUCUCCCAAAUCUUAACUGAGUUCCUGGCCAAGAUACAUUUUAAAGAAAGCAGGCUGAUUCAUUUUGUUGAUGAUCUGCUAGCCUCACCACCAGCCAAGGCAUGCCAAAGAGACAGCAAGCACCUUCUAAUUGAGUUAUUCAAAAGGGGAUAUAAGAUUUCCAAGUCCAAGGUGUAAUGGUGCUUGCCAAGAGUAGAUUAUCUAAGGCUUUAUUCUAACUAAAGGGGCCAGGCAUAUCUCAGGGAAAAGAAUAGCAUGAAUUCAAAAGAUUACAGCACCAAAGACCAAAAAGUAACUGAGAGCUAUUCUGGGAGCAACUGGAUUUUGACAAUGGAUACCAGGUUUGGGGGAACUGGUGAAACCAUUGACAGAACUAAGAAAAGACUGUGUAAUAGAGUCACAAAAAUUAACAUCAGAACACCUGAAUGCUAUUUCACAAUUAAAGUUUGCCAUUUUAUCAGCACCAGCUCUGGGCAAGCUAUUCAUUCUGUAUGCCCUUAAGAGAAAAGUUGUGACCUCUGGGGUGCUAAUGCAGGCUUUUGGUCCAGUGCAAAAACCUAUUGCAUAUUAUUCAGCACAACUGGAUCCAGUAGCUAUGGGAGUGCCUCCAUGUCUUAGAGACAUAGUGACAAAAGCUCUGUUAGUGAUUCUGGGGAAUCCGCUUACCAUCAUGUGUCUGCACAAGGUUAAAACUCUUCUAUGAAGGCAUAAGACUCAAGCCUUUUCAGUUCAGAGGCUGGCUAGAUAAGAGCUAACACUUUUAGCAAAUGCAAACAUUACCCCCAAAAGAUGUGGAAACUUGAACCCUGAUAUGUUGUUACCAGACCUACCAACUUCUGGGAACAGCUGCAUGAAUGUACUAAAGUGGUUCAAAUAACUUAGAAACCGAGGGACAAUCUCUCUGAUACACCCCUAGAGAAACCAGACUUUAUUCUUCUCAUGGACGGAUCCUCCUUUAUGAGAGAUGGGGUAUGGUUCACAGGAGCAGCAGUGGUAACAGAGUUUGAGACAGUGUGGGUAGUGGCUUUGCCAUCACAUCUGAGCAUGCAGGCUGUAGUUAUUAGGUGUAAAGCAAGCGUGUACCAUUGCCAAGUACAGGAGUGUGAGUGGUCUACACUGAUUCCAAAUAUGCAUUUGGGAUCUGUCAUGAAAUUGGGAGCCUAUGGUUACAGAAAGGCUUCUUAACAUCCCCUGGAAAAUUGGUUGCCAAUGCACAAAUCACAAGUGAACUGUUAACUGCCUUACAACUCCAAAGUAGAUAGCAAUUAUGCACUGCAGAAUGCAUACCAGAAACAUAGAUUCUGUUGCUCAUAGCAACAACAGAGCAGAUGCCACUGCAAAAUUUGCAGCAACUAGCAGACCUGAGCUAUGCUUGAAUCUCGCCCUGAUAAUGCCACAAGAUCUGGCUAUAGCAUAUAAUGAGAAGGAAGUGCUAACAAAACAAAAUUACCAGGCAGAAAACAAAAAUGGUAUUUGGGUGGCUUCCUAUGGAAAACCAAUACUGCCAAGAGCCUUUUGCCUUUUAUAGCCAGAUCUGCCAAAGCAUCCAUAAAUGGGAUCAUUUUGGCACAAAAGGAAUGGUUGAUACUGUGAAAAAGGCCUGGAUAGCCCCUGGAAUAAUAACAAUAGUAUCUAGGAUUUGUUCUUCUUGCCAGACUUGUCAGAAAUUUAUUCAAACCAUGUUCAAACAAAAAGCCUUUGGAUCCAGACCUAUAGCUUUCUCUUCUUUUGAUAUUACAAUGCCCAAAACUGGAAACUAUUGGUACUGUUUAGUGCUUGUGGAUCAGCUGAUAAGAUGGCCUGAGGCAUUUCCAAGUUAUUAGAACACAGCUAAUUUUGUUGCCAAGGUGUUGUUAAAAAAGAUAGUGCCACGAUUUGGAGUUCUAUCUCGAAUUGAUUCGAACUGUGAAUUGCACUUUACAGACUCGGUUUUGCAACAGAUCUAUGCAAACUUGGGUAUAACACCAAAAUUCCAUGUCCUGUACCAAAGAUCUGGGCAAGUGCAACGCAUGAAUCGGGAACUUAAAAGAAUGGUGGGAAAGCUCUGUGCAGAGACUCAUUUAAAGUGGCCAGAAAUUCUAUCUUUGGCUCUUUUUUACAUAAGAACACGGCCCAGAAGUGAUUUGCACAUUUCACCAUAUGAGAUGUUAUUUGGCCAUGCCCCACAACAGAGGAUUUUAGCCCUGUCUAUGCCUCCUUGCUAGGUGAAGAUUUAUCUAUUGCACAAUAGAUCUCACAACUGCAGAACAGAAUCAGAGAAUUGCAAGAGCUGGGAAUACUCAUUCAGGCUGGACUGAUAGAUUUCACAUUGCAUGACUUACAUCCAGGUGACACUGUGUACAUAAAAAAUUUUACUAGGACUAGUGCCACUGAACCAGUGUGACUAGGACCUUUUGAUAUUUUGUACACAACGCCUACGGCUAUAAAGGUUGCUGGUAAAGAUUCGUGACUGUAUUACUUGCACGUGAAGAUUUCAUUGGGAGAAGAGAUUACAUCAGUUGAAGAAGCCUGCAGGUGAAGUUGGAAAGAAGAGGAAAAAAACAUCACAACCACACAACAACAUAAAAGAUGAACAACAACACACGGAUGUGGACAAGAUUUCUUAAGGACAAUGAACUGUUUGAAAAAACACAUUAUAACAACUUUGUUACAAUCACAAACACACUUAGGAGGGAAAAAGUUGCAACGUUCUAUGAGAGCAACAAUCAAUAAGACAAGCUGGCAGUAUAAAAUUUCCUAGCAGGCUGCAGCAGGUUAAAAGGAGACAAACUGUGGGCAACAUUCUGAGGAUAGAACUCUGUGUUUUUCCUUGCUUUCCAUCCGCACAGAUUUGUAUUGCAGGACUUAUGCAGCGAUGACUGGUGAGUAUGAACACAUUAUUAGAUGAGAAGAGUUAUCAGUAUAACACACACCAUAGCACAUAGCAAUAUUAAGUAUUCUAGUUAGCUACAUAUUAUAUAGACAGGGAGGAUGUUAUAUCCUCUCUAUAGACCCAUUUUACUCACAACAGUGGGGGAAUUUUAAAUUCUUCAAACAGCGUGAUUUCUUUUCUGUACAUAUGUAUUUAUAUGUAUAUGUACAUAUAUGUUUAUAUGGACUUUUGUAUAAUUUUUCAAUAGGAGUUACUUCUUUUCUGUAAAUAUAUAUGUAUAUUGGGCUAUAUAUAUAUGAAAUUGUGUAUAAUUCUAUAAAAUAGGUUGUGUACAUAGUUUUGUUUGCAUGCUGUUGUGUUGAGUUUAGUUUGCAUUAUGGUAGGAAUAGGUUUUCUUUUCUGUAAAUAGAAUAGCAUAGGAAAAGUUAGCUGUUUCUGUAGUGGUAAGAUGGUUUGCAGCUUUUCUUUCACUUUAGGUAAGCAUUGUUUUUUUAGAAAAGUAAAGUUUAGUUCUGUUCUAUUUUCAUAGUAUUGGUAAGGUAAAUUUUGGAGUUUUCUUUAGAUAGGAUUUUCUUUUCUGUACUAGGGAGAGGAAAAUUGUGUUUUAUUUGUUCCUUUGUUUUGAAUUUUGCAUUUAGACUUUGUAACUGCAUUUGUAUUUGACUUGCAUUUUGCCAAGAUUUUUCCUUACUUUCUCUUUUCUUUUCUGCCCUAAGAAUAGGCAAAUCUAGUUAGGUGUAAAAUAGUUUAAGAAGGCUUAGGAAUAAUAAUAGAAUGCUAUAAGAUUAAGGACAUAGUUGUAUUUGGGGAAAAUUAUUAGCUUAGGUAUGAGAUAGUUACAUUUGGGGAGAAAAUAAAUUUUUUCCCAAAUUUCACAUGGGGGGAUUGUAAUAGGAUAUUUAUUAAUUAAGAGUUAAUUAAGUAAGAAUUCAGUAGGAAAUAGAGUUAAGUAACAUAAGUUAUUUUAUAGAUGCAUAAGGGGGUUAAGUUGCGUUUCUUUAAAUGGAAUCUUACAGAUGGAUUGUGGGUAAGAGAAUUUUCCCAAAGUUACAGUUACCCAACUGACUUUGCACUCUUGGGGCUGAUCCUAUUAUGAUAGGAGGUCUCAAGAGUGGCUUGGCUAGACUGGGAAAUUCUCAGUUGCUUUCUACAUCAAAAAUUUGACUAGCAGACCAUAACAUCAAAGAUCAUUAGGUGAAAAUUCAUUACAAACCUAGAUGGUUUGCUGUGAGUUUGGAAGAAGGAUAUGGAGAUUCUGGGCUUUUUUUUUUUUUCAAACUACACAGCUAAAAAGAGAAACCAACUUACUCUUUUGUGUAUAAGUUAAGAAUUUAGGAUAAGAUAGUUUAGGUAUUUGGGGAUAAGAUAGAUAGGAAGAGAGUUUUGGGGACCAAAGAGACCCUUGUGGGUCAGACUGAUUGGGUGGUUAGAGAAGAAUUUAUUAGAUUAGGGAUCAAUAUAUUAUAAGAAUUUCUUUUCCACUUAUUUUCUUUUUCUAUCCUUUGUCUUUAGGGGCUUUUUUCUUACAAUAAAUAUAUUUUUGAUAUAUCCUGCCAAGUCGGAAUUCUUGAGACUGCUCUGAGAGCCAUUUUUCUCAACAGUCACAACACCCACAACCUAUCUAGGACAAAUUAAUAGUGAUACCACCCUAUAUAAAUAAUCUAGUAAGGGAACCCUUACAACAAUCCUAAAACUAAAAAUAUAAACUUAUAAACAGAGAGGAAUAAGUUAGAUUUCUGAAAAAGCAGCUUGUUAGGAUCUUCACUGACUUCUCCACUCAAGCAGUUCACUCUUUUCUGCAACCCACUGGGAUUCAACACCCAAUUGGGUACUAUACCCAAUACUCUUGGUCUUUGGUCUGCUAGGAUGGUUUUAAGAGAUAAAUUCACCAGAAAUUCUCCCAAUUCAGAGCAGCCUCCUUAAACAACAUUCCUUAUUCAGGAUCGUUUUGAAGAGUUGAGUUCGUUGGUCCAACUGUCCUUCCCAAGAACCUCUGAGAAAUUCCUUUUAUUUCCCAGCAUUCUCUGUGAAAAUUCCACUCUGACUUAAAGAAAUCCAGCUCACUCAGCUCUCUCUAAUUCAUCUAUCAAUAAAUUUUGUUAAUUAACCCUAUUUCCUAAUUAACUCUUAAUUCAUGAAUAUUCUACUACACUAUUCACCAGAUACUUGAUGUGUGACCAUGAUGUAAUCCCUCAUAUAGUUUGCCUCAUUUUCCUUAGCUGUCAGAAGGGCGUGAUAAAAGAAACUACUUCAUAAGAUAUUUUAAUAUAUUAAUUUUAUUAAUUAUUAUAUAUAAAAUUAAUUUUAUUAUUUUAUAUAUGAAAUAAAAUAUAUAAUAAAUGAUUAAUAAAAUUAAUAUAAGAAUAUCUUAUUUUCAUAAGAUAUGAGGAGCAAAUGAGAUAAUUGUUAUAGCCCUUAGCACAAUACAUUUGGUACAUAGUAGGAGCUAUCAAAAUACUAUUCCCUUCCAGACUCCUUUGCUCCACUCUUAUGUUAGAAAAUUGAGUUUUAAGAAGUGCUUUUUGUAAGGACAUUGAAAAACUGAAGAUUGUCUGGAGGAUUGAAAUUGAGUUAACCAAGUCCAUAAGGACAUUUUUUUUUAAUUUGAAAUUUUUUAUUCAAUUAAUUAAUUUAGAAUAUUUUUCCAUGGUUACAUGAUUCAUGUUCUUUCCCUCCCCUCAUCUAACCCGCCCCUCCUGUAGCCAACUAGCAAUUCCCUGGGUUUUACAUGUGAGGACAUACUAUUUAACAGAACAUGUAAGGAUCAGUUGAAAGAUCCUGAGAUACUGAGGCCAGAGUUUAGAAGACAGGAAAAAAUGUGGCAGAGAUAAUUAUGUUUGAAAGGUUGGCAUGUAAGAAAUGAUAGAUUGUUUGGUCUCUGUGGGCAAAACUAGGAACAAUGAGACUAAAGAUAAGAACCCAAGCCAACCUCUUAGCAAUUAUUCUCCAAUUUAUGGAUGGACUACUUCAGGAUGUAGUUUAUUCCUCAUCACUGAAGAUUUUUAUUCAAUUGGAGAUAAAUACUUAUUGGACUGGUAUUGGGGGUAGGAGGUGGGGUAUAAUCAGGUCUCUGAAUUCUAAGAUUCUAUAAUUCUGUUAUCUUGGUACCCUGGGCAAACAACCUUCUCUGACAACAGGAGGAACUCUUGAGGCCUUUUGCUCUCAUUUGAACUUGAGGAUUAGUCUCCUGUUUGAAACCUAAAGAUCAUAUCAUCAGAGGUCUUGGAUAGUUAAGUCAUUUUUCACCCUACCCCUUCAGCCCAGUCUUUUUUUAUCUCUAGAGAACAGUGAAUGAUGGAGGCAGAUCUUUUCCCAUUCUCCAGGUUGCAGUUCCCACCAGUCCACCAUUGUAGAUCACUUCUCUUGAGAUAGGAGCUGUCCUGAAGUUGAAAGAAGAGUACAAUGAACUUUGAGGUGAAGGUUUUAAAGUAGGGAAGGAAGAGGGUCCUAAGUUGAAGUGGCCUUGGUCCUUUGGUAACUCUUCUAAGUAGAUGUAGAAGGAGAAAGAAACUGGAGAUAGAAUAUUACUAUGUAAGGAAUGAAACCUAAGAAGUUCUGGUUUUCAGGAAUGAUCCUUAUGAAGAGCCUCUCCAUGAAGAAGGAUGGCAAUCAUCUUGGUGAAUAUGAACAUGUUUAAAGUGACUAAAAACUCACUAUGAGUUAACAAAAUAUAGCAACCUUUCAAAUUAAUUAUGUUAAUGGUUUAGAAAAGAAGCAUAAUUUCUUUGAGUAAAGAGUUGCUUCCCCCUUGGGGCACCUACUUGAGGAAUUGAGUUUUUGUGGAAGUCUGCAUAAAAAUGAUUAAAUCAGGAAAGGCCCUUUUGUUCUUUUCUAAUGGGUAGAAGGGCUGCCUUGGGAUGUAGUUGAUUUCCCAUCACUGGAGAACUUUAAUCCAGUGUGAGAUAAUCACUUUAUUAAAGGACUAAUUCUUUUCCUGUUAGUGGGACUAGUGGUGCCCUCAGGUUUCCUUGAAUUCUAAGAUUCUAAGAUUCUGUUAUCUUGGUGUCCUGGGCAACCAAGGUUCUCCAACAACAGUACUUUGCUCUCAUUCAAACCAGGUACUUAGGAGCUGUGUGGCCCAAAGCUAGUCAUUGAAGCUCUGUUUGCCUCAGUUUUCAUAACUGUCCAAAGGGCAUGGAAAAGGACCUAGUUCAGAGGAUUUUGGUGAGGAUCCAUUGAGGUAAUAUAUUUAUUAAAGCCAUUUAUUUGCACAGUGCUUGGUACAUAGUAGAAACUAUAGACAUACUUAUUUCCUUCCAUUUUCCUUUACUUCACUCAAUUUAAGCCAUUCUUAUUUCAGUGUGUACAGUUUUAGGACCAAGAGUGUUGAAAAGACAUUGAAAAACUGAAGAUUGUCUGGAGGAGGAAAUGGAGAGAGUCACCAGGUCCAUGGGGACAUAGCCCUUACGGAUCAAUGGAAAGUUCCUGGGAUAUUGAAGCUAGACUGGAGAAUUAGGAGAAAAUGUAAUCAAAAUGUUGAUCUGUUUGAAAUGUUGACAUGUUGAAGAGGGGUAAGAGUGUGUUUGGUCUCAGUGGGCAAAAAUAAGGAACAGUAAGAGGGACAGCCAGCACAGAAUCAAAGGGUAGGAAGUAAAAACAGCUCCGUAACAAUUCUUAUUCUUCACCAGGUGGAUGGGAGUUGUCUUAGGAUGCAGUUGAUUCCUUCUCCCUGGAGAUCUUUUAGUAAAUGUGAGAUAACCACUUUUUUAGUAUAUUGAGGAAGGAUCGGUUUUUCUGGAGGGGCACUAAAGUCUCUUUGAAUUUUAAGAUGCAAGAAUUCUGUAAUCUUAGACCUGAGGAUGGAUGGCAACUACAUGCUUAGUAUGAUCCAGGGAGAUGUCAAACCCUCAAGCUAGGAGAAACCUAAUUCUCUUGAAUAAAAAGUUGUUGAUCCUCAGGAGAAGCUGGCACAGGAGUGAAUAGAGCAUUGAGUUUUCAGGGAACUUAUAAAUUGUCAGUGGUUAUGAAAUCAGGAAAAAUGCCUUUACUCCUUUGAAAUAGGGAGGUGGCCUGCCUCAGGAUGUAGCUGAUUACCCAUCAAUGGAGAACAUUUAGCCCCAGUCAGACAAUCACUUGUUUGCUGUUUUGGAUGGUUUAUUCUAUUGUGGGUUGGACUAGAAGGAGACUCUUUGGUGUCUUUGAAUUUAAAGACUUGAUGAUUCUUUUAUAUUGGUAUCCCAGGUAACCAAGGUUCUCAAACAAAAGAGGUUCUUGAAGUCCUUUGCUCUCAUUUGAACCAGAUACUUACUUGACCUAUAACCCCGAGGUAACCACUUAAACUGUUUGUCUGAGUCUCCUUAGGUGUACAAAGAAUAUGGUAAGACCACCCAUCUUCAUGGAUUUUUGGUUAAGAUCACUUGAGAUAUUUGUUAAAUCCCUUAGCACAGCACUUGGUACAUAACAGGAACUAAAGAAAUACUUCUUCCCUUCCAUCCUUCUUUGCUCACUCUGUUUAGGUUAUUUCCUACAUUAUUGAGGUUUGUUAACAAACAAGUUCAAAAGAUACUGGAAAAACUGAAGAUUGUCUUGAGCCUGGAAAGACAGAGAGAGUCAGCCAGAUCCAUGAGGAUGUAGCUUUUAAAGGAUCAGUUGAUGAUCUUGGAACACUGAGGUCAGAGAGAAGAAGAAAGAAGAAAAUUUGAUUCAUCUUUAUGUGGUUGAAAUGUUGGCAUAUACGAGAGGGUUAGGCUGGUUUUGGCAUCUAUGGGUAGAACUAAAGUCAAUGAGAGAGACAGAGAAAGCCUACAAAGGGUCAAAAGAUACAAAGUAAAGAAAAACUCUUAUACCAAUAUUUUUUUUCUAAUAGAUGGAUGGACUUUUUAAGGUGGUAGUUGAUUGCUCCUUAGUGGAGAACUUUAAGCCAAUGUGAGAUAACCACUUGUUGACUAUUGAAAAAUUGAUUUUUCUGCUGUGGGUUGUAAGACAGGAAAAUCAAGGUUACUUUAAAUUCUCAGAUCCUAUGAUUCUGUUAUCUUGGUAUCCUAGGCAACUAGACCUCUGCCAACAAGAGAAGAUCUUGAGGUAUUUUCUCUUAUUUGAACAUGUCUUAUCCUGUUUGAAACAUUUAGAAUAUUUCAUUAGUAGCCUUGGAUAGUUAGGAGACUUUUUCUUCCCAAACAUUUCAACUUGGUCUUUUUGACUCCAAGGUACAUUGAAUGUUUGUUGCUGAGCUUUUCCCACAUACUAACUAGUCUGGGGUGCCCAGCAGGCCACCAUUAGAGAUCACUAUCUCUAUUGAGAUGGAAACUGUCCUGAGACUAAAAAGUAAGUGCACUGAUCCAGGAGGUGAGGUGUUCAAGGGAAAGAAGAAAGAGGAGCUGAAGUUGAAGUGGCCCUUUGUCCUUCCAUAACUCUGUUAGGUAAAUGAAGAAGGAAAGAGAAGGUAAAGAGAGAAUAGCUCUCAAUGGGGGAUGAAAACUAAAAAGUCUUGGUUUUCAUGCCUCCUUAUGAACAUUCCACUCAUGAAGGAUGAUGGUGAACAUCCUCUUAAAGCUGUGCCUGGUUUAGGUAAGCAGAAGGUCAUUGUGAGAGAACAGGAUAUGGCAGUCCUAAAUUAAUCUUAUUUAAGGGCUGGAAGAAAAGCGUAAUUUCCUCAAGUAAAGAGUUACUGAUUCUCAGGGGCAACCUGGAAAUGGAGAUAGAGCAUUGAGUUUUCUGAGAAGAGGGUAAAGAGUUAAAAUUUAUAAAAUGAGGAAUUCCUUUAUUCCUUUCUAUUAGUUAUAUGAGUUUCCUCAGGAUAUAGUUGAUGCUCCUUAAAUUGGAGAAGUUUGAAUUGAAUUAAAGAAGGAUUAAUUAUUCUGUUUUAAGUUGAACUAGAGGGAGACUAAGUUCUCUUUAAAUUCUAAGAUUCCAGGAUCCUGUUAACUUGGUAUCAUUGGCAACCAAGAUUCUCAAACAAUAGGAGAGACAUGCCAAAUACUUUGCUCUUAUUUGAACCAGUUACUUGAUGCCUGAUUCUGAUGUAGUCACUUAAAUUAUCUACCUCAGUUUGCUCAACCAAUAAAAGGACAUCAUGGCAAAAGCACCUAAUCCACAGAAUUUUUGGUGAGUAUUCAGUAAAAUAUUUUUUAGAGCCAUGAUCACAGUGCUUGAUCCACAGUAGAGGAUAUGUAACUUUUCAUUCCCCUCCAUCCUCCUUAGAGCUUCAUUUAGGCCAUGCCUUUAUUAUACAUGUAAGUUUUUAGAACAAUAGUAUAAUAAGGACAUUGGAAAACUGAAAAUUAUUGAAGGAGGGAAAUCAAGAGAGUCACUGAGGGCCAUGGAGUAUUUAAAAGUAUUUAGAGAUCGCCUGAAAUAUCCUGUAGCAUUGAGGUCAGAAUGGAGAAGACGGGAGAACACACAUCUAUGUGUGGUUGAAACAUUGGCACAUAUGAGAGGAUUAGACUAGUUUUGAUCUCAGUGGGCAGAACUAGAAACAAUGCUAUGGAGAGAAAGCCUGCAAAGGGUCAAAGCACACAAAGUCAAGAAAAACCCCUUUAUAUUUUUUUUAGGUGGAUAGGCUUUCUUUGAAUGUAGUUGAUUACCCCUCACUGGAGAACUUUAAGGCCAUGUGAGAUAACCACUUGUUGACUCUUGUAAAAAAGUGAUUUUUCUGUUGUGGGUUAUACUUCAGGAAUAAUCUUUUAAAUUCUGAUAGCCUAUCAUUCUGUUAUCUUGGUUUCCCAGACAGCCAACCAUUUCUGCCAAUGGGAGGCACUCAUGAGAUCUUUUGCUUCUAUUUGAACCUGAGAAUUGUUCUCCUGUUUGAACCCUAUAGACCAUUUCAUUAGGGGCCUAGGAUAGUUCAGAGGCGUUUUUUUCCUCCCCAACCCUUCAACUUUUUCUUUUUGACUCCAAUUACCUUAGUAUAUUAUAUAUUAAAAUACAUUUCUUUACCUAUACUCCAACUAAGGUACAUUGAAUGCUGGAUGCUGAGCUUUUCCUUUACACUAGCCUGGGUGCCUGUCAGGCCACCAUGGGGAUCGUCUUAACUGAGAUGGAAACUCCUGACACUGAAAGACUUCAAGGUAGAGUGACCCAGGGAAUAGAUGAAGAAGAAGAACCAAGAGCAGAGACAGUCCUGGCAGAAGGGGAGAUCUUGGCUGCUCUAUUGAAGCUGCUUUUCUGAAGAAGUCUACAGGAGAGACUCAACAAAGAGAGCCAAAGGCAGACCAGUUCUGUCUGGUCAAAAGCUGGAGGCUCCUGUUUCCUCCUCUGAGUAUUGUUCAAUGAGAGGGAGAUGGGAGAUCCUCAGAGCCCCUCAGGGAGCUGCCUGAGAAGGCCUGGGGAUUGUCUUCCCCCACAGCUGCCUCUCUUAGUGAGGUGAAAGGCUUAGGCCAGCCCAGCUAUAGAGCCUUUCUCUCAGUCCACAGGUAUGUAUGGAUGGGCAGAAUCCUCUCCCAGGAUGCUCUGCUUGCUUAGAGGAACCUUACACAGCUGGAGUGUAGGAGAGUACAUGGCCGUCUUUGCUUGUGCUGGAAAAGAGAUAACAUUCAGCACAGCAGUGAUUCUGAGCCUGUCAGGAGAGUCCCAAAGAGGCACCCACCCAAGGAUGGUAGUUCCUGACCUUGCAGUUCCUGACCUCAACUUCUUCCCAAGAGCUAGAGCAACUCCAGGAGCAUGUAUGAAAGGAACCAGAGGAAAUCUGUCUCUGCCACUGACAUGAACAGAUGAGGGGCUGAGGGGAUCUGAUGCAGAGGAGAUGAGGCAACUCAAACUGAAUUCUACAGUUAGCAUAACCCAGAAAAAGAUGGGGUGGAAUAAUUUUUCAGCCCCAAACAAUUUAGACCUGCACAAAAGAUCUAGAGCCCUGGGGGGCAAGCAGAGCACAAAGCAGUGCCCUAAGGCAGGAGCUCACCAUGCACCAAGCUAGUAAGAAGGGCUCAGGCAGAGACUCAGAAGUAGAUUCCAGGGUCCCUUUUCUAGCUCUGGGGGCAAGAUUCCCAUUGCAUUGACCAAAUGAAGAACCAGAUCUUAGGCUGGGUGCACAGUAUCUGGGUAAAGAUGAACACUAGUACACACCAGGGUUUGAAGGCACAGAGGAAUGGCACCGGGACCCUGGUCACAGUUUCAAGGCAGAAAAGUGUGCUUGUGAUUACUUGCAGACCAGACUGGCACAGGCUGAGGGAGUAUUCAGCACGCCUCUCCUUAAACCACUUUGGAAGAACUGAAAACUUGUAGAUUCCCUAGAGCUAGCUCUGGAGGCAAUUGCACAAAGAAUCUGAAGCUUGGAACAGCGUUCCUCCCUUCACAAGUAUACAGACCAACAUUAAUAUUCAUUUUUAAAGGAAAAAAGAAAAAAGCUGGAAAAAGAGCAAACAACAAAAACUCAACAUAGAAAGUUAUUUUGGUGACAGGGAAGAUUAAAACACACACUCAGAAAGAAACCAUGUAGUUGUUUGCCCCAAUUGGAUAACUUUAAGCCAGUGGAAGAUAAACCCUUGUUGACUCUACUGCAAGAUUGACUUUUCUACAAAUUGUUGUUCUGCAAGAACAUCAAGAUUUCUUUAAAUUCUCAGAUCCUAUGAUUCUGUUAUCUUAGCAUCCUAGGCAACUGAUCUUCUCUACCAACAGAAGGAGCUCUUGAAGUCUUUUAUUCUUAUUUGAACCUGAGACUUGUUCUCCUGUUUGAACCCAAUAGAAUAUUUCAUUGGGGACUUAUUGUUGGUAUAGUUCAGAGGCUUUUUUCCCUCACAAACCUUCAACUUGUUCUCUUUGACUCUAGGGUACAUUGAAUGCUGGAGACUGAGCCUUUUGUGUUCACUAGUCUGGGGUGCCCACCAGUUCACCCUUGGGGAUCACCUCUAUUGAGAUAGAAACUGUCCUAAGUCUAAAAGAUAAGUGCAUUGAUCAAUGAGGUGCAAAGAAAGAGGCUCUUAAGUUGAAGUGGUCCUUAUCUUUCCAUAACUCCUUUAGUUAGAAGAAGAAGAAAAUAGAACUGCACAGAGAGAAGAGCUCUGAAUGGGGUGGAGGGGAAAGAAACCUAAGAAGCCUUGGUUUUCAUGCUUCCUUAUGAAGAUCCCACUCUUGAAUACGGAUGGCAAAUAUCCUCAUAAAGAUGUGUAUCAUUUAGAUGAUCAGAAACUCAGGAGAACAAGAUAUGGCAAUUCAGAGUUAAUCUCAUUUAUGGAUCAGAGGAAGAGCAUCAUUUCCUCUGCAAAGUUUUGCUGAUCCUCGGGGGCAACCAGAUGGAGAUGGGAUUAGUGUUGAGUUUUCUGAGAAGACUACUCAGAUUCAAAAUUUAUGAAAUAAGGAAAAUUUCUUUAGUUGUCUGGACUUCCACAGAAAAUAGUCAAUUCUCCUUAAACUGGAGACCUUUAAUUCAAGGUGAGAUAACCUCUUGUUAGCACUAUUGAAGAAGGAUUGAUUAUUCUGUUUAAGUUGGACUAAAGGGACACUGAGGUCUCUUUGAAUUCAAAGAUUCUAGGAUCUUGUUAUCUUGGUAUCCUAGCCAACCAAGAUUCCCAAACUACAGGAGGGGUUCUUGAAAUACUUUGCUCUUCUUUGAACCAGAUACUUGGUGUUUGCUCUUGAUGUAGUCACUUAAAUUAUUUACUUCAGUUUGCUUAACUGACAAAAGUGCAUGGUAAAGACAGCUACUUCACAGAAUUUUUGCGUGUAUUAAGUAAGAUGAUAUUUUUAGUGCCAUGACUCCAGUGCUUGGUCAGUAGUAGGAACUAUAUAACUACUUAUUUUCUUCCAUUCUUCUUGGUUUUUCAUAGUUUAGGCCACUCCUUUAUUAUAUAGAAUAAGAGUAUAGUAAUGACAUUGAAAGAUCAUUGAAGGAGGGAAGUCAAGAGAGUUAAACGUUUCUGUGGGAACAUUGUAUUGAGAGGUCAAUGGGACUUGGAGGCUAGAAUGGAGAAUAUAUAGGAGAAAAUGUGAUAGGUAUUUUUAUGUAGUAUUAAAAGGUUGGCAUGUACAAGAGAGUUAGGGUGAAUUUGAUAUCAGUGGGCAGAACUAGGAACAAUGAGAGUGAGUUUGCAAAGAGUCAAAGGAUAUGAAGUCAAGACAAACUCCUAUACCAUUCUUCUAAUAUAGACGGGCUCCUUCAGAUUAUGUUUGAUUCACCAUCAAUGGAGAACUUUCAUUCAUGAUGAGAUAACCACCUGUUGAUUUUUAUUGAGGAAACACUGAUUAUUCUAUUGUGGGUUGGACAAGAGAGGCACUAUGGGCUCUUUGAAUUCUAAGAUUCUAGGAAUCUGUUAUCUUGGUAUCCUAGGCAGCUAUGUGUUUUUUUUUCAAAGAAGUGACUCCUGAAAUUCUUGCUCUCAUUUUUCCAGAUAUUUGAUGUGUGACCAUGAGGUAGUCCCUUAAAUAGUUUGCCUCAGUUUCCUUAGCUGUCAGAAGGGAAUGAUAAAAUCAACUACUUCACAGGAGGAGCAAGUGAGAUAAUAUUUGGUAGGGUCCUUAGCACAGUGCUUGGUACCUAGUUGAACUAGCAAAAUACUUAUUCCCUUCCAUUUCACUUUGUUUUGCUCAGGUUCAGCCAGUCUUUUAUUAUAAAGUUGAAUUUUAAGAACAAAAGUUUCAUAAAGGCAUUAAAAACUGAAGAUUGUCUGGAGGAGGGAAAUGUAGAGAAUCAACCAAGUCCAUAAGGACACAGCAUGUAAGCAUCAAUUGAAAGAUUUUGGGAGGUUGAGGCUGAAGUGUAGAAAAGAGAAGAAAAUAUGAUAGAGAUCUUUAUGGUUGAAAGAUUGGUAUGAUUCCUUAAUCAACAAAUGGUCAAGGGUCAUGAAUAGGCAGUUCUCAUAGGAUGAAAUCAAAACUAUCAAUAAGCACAUGAAAAAGUGUUUUAAAUCCCUUCUGAUGAGAGAAAUGCAAAUACAAACAACUCUGAGGUACCACCUCACACCUAGCAGCUUGACCAAUAUGACAGCAAAGGAAAGUGAUAAAUGUUGAUGGGGAUGUGGCAAAAUUGGGACACUAAUAUACUGUUGAUGGAGUUGUGAAUUGAUCCAAUCAUUCUGGAGGGCAAUUUGGAACUAUGCACAAAGGGCUUUAAAUGAAUGCCUGCCCUUUAACCCAGCCAUAUCACUGCUGGGUUUGUACCCCAAAGAGAUAUAAAGAAAAAGACUCGUACAAAAAUAUUUAUAGCCAUGCAGUUUGUGGUGGCAAAAAACUGGAAAAUAUGGGGUGUCCUUUGAUUGAGGAAUAGCUGAACAAAUUGUGGUAUAUGUUGGUGAUGGAAUACUAUUGUGCUGAAAGAAAUAAUGACCUGGAGGAAUUCCAUGUGAACUAGAACAACCUCCAGAAAUUGAUGCAGAGUGAAAGGAGCAGAACCAGGAGCACAUUAUACACAGAGACUCAUACACUGUGGCACAAUUGAAUGUAAUGGACUUCUCUACUAGCAGCAAUGCAAUGACUCAGGACAAUCUAGAGGAACUUGGGAGAAAGAACCCUAUCCACAUCCAGAGAAAGAACUGUGGAACCAGAAAUGAAUUAGAAAAAUAUAUGAGAAAUCACGUAGUGCAAUAGAGAUGUGAUUAGGGUUUUCUGUUAAAGGAUCACUCAACUGCAAAUAUGAGUGUCAUGGAAAUAGGUUUUGAACAAUAAUACAUGUAUAACCCAGUGGAAUGGCUUGUUGCCUUUGGGAGUUGGGAGGAGAGGGGAAAGGGGGGGGAGAUCAUGAAUCAUGUAACCAUGGAAAAUAUUCUAAAUAAAAAUUAAAAAAAGAAAGAAAAAAGAAAGAUUGGAAUGUAAGAGAGGAGUAAAAUAUUUUUGUCUGAGUGAGCAGAACUAGGAACAAUGGGAAGGAGAGCCUGCAAAGAGACUAAAGACAUAUAAGAGACUAAGAAUAUAAACUCAAGCAAAAUUCUUGGCAGUUAUUCUUCUCCAAUAUAUGGAUGGGCUACCUCAGGAGGUAGUAGAUUCCUCCUCACUGAAGAUUUUUACCCAAUGUGAGAUAACCACUUGAGUAUUUUGAAGUACUGCAUUUUCUGUUUUGGGUUGGAUGGGGGUGGGGCAAAAUUAAGUCUCCAAAUUCUAAGAUUCCAUUAAUUCUGUUAUCGUGGUAUCCUAGACAACUAAUCUACUCUGACAACUGGACAAGCUCUUGAGGUCUUUUGCUCUCAUUUGAACCUGUGGCUUGGUCUGCUGUUUGACCCCUUUAGAACAUAGCAUCAGAGGCCCUUUUCACCCAAUCUCCAUAUCUCACUCUCUUUGUCUCCAGGGAAUUUAGGAUGAUGGAGGCCAAGUUUUUCCAAUUCUCUAGUCUACAGUUCUCACCACUCUACUAUUGUGGAUCACCUUUAUAGAGAUGGGAGCUAUCUUGAGGCUAAAAGGAGGAAGAUGGGCUGUCUCAGAAUGUAGUUGAUUCCCUCUAAACAGGAGAACUUUCAUGCAAGGAUAACUCCACAACAAGAUAAGCCCUGACUUCAUGUCUUCGAAGUGCCCCUUGUGGAACUGGAGGAUUGAGAAGGGACUUCAAUGAGCAUCUCCGAUACUCAAGAUGUUGUCACUGUACUCUGCUAGGAGCCUUACAAAUAUCUCUUUUGAUCCUCACAACUAUCCUGGAAGACUUCAUGGUAGAGUGACCCAUGGAAUAGAUGAUGAAGAAGAAGAAGAACCAAGAGCAGAGACAGUCCUGGCAGAAGGGGAGAUCUUGGCUGCUCUAUUGAAGCUGCUUUUCUGAAGAAGCCUACAGGAGAGACUCAACAAAGAGAGCCAAAGGCAGACCAGUUCUGUCUGGUCAAAAACUGGAGGCUCCUGUUUCCUCCUCUUGAGUAUUGUUCAAUGAGAGGGAGAUGGGAGAUCCUCAGAGCCCCUCAGGGAGCUGCCUGAGAAGGCCUGGGGAUUGUCUUCCCCCACAGCUGCCUCUCUUAGUGAUGUGAAAGGCUUAGGCCAGCCCAGCUAUAGAGCCUUUCUCUCAGUCCACAGAUACAUAUGGAUGGGCAGAAUCCUCUCCCAGGAUGCUCUGCUUGCUUAGAGGAACCUUACACAGCUGGAGUGUAGGAGAGUACAUGGCAGUCUUUGCUUGUGCUGGAAAAGAGAUAACAUUCAGCACAGCAGUGAUUCUGAGCCUGUCAGGAGAGUCCCAAAGAGGCACCCACCCAAGGAUGGUAGUUCCUGACCUUGCAGUUCCUGACCUCAACUUCUUCCCAAGAGCUAGAGCAACUCCAGGAGCAUGUGGAAGUAUGAAAGGAACCAGAGGAAAUCUGUCUCUGCCACUGACAUGAACAGAUGAGGGGCUAAGGGGAUUGCAGGCCAAAUGCCCCUUGUCCUGGGGAUCUUCCUUGUGCCCCUGAAGGAGAAGUGAGAACGGUUAGGCCUGGGAUCCUGAAGGAGGAAGUACAGACUUGUCAGUCUUAAUCCAAGAUGGGAAGAGAUGGAGAGUCUGAGUAAACAGUUUCCAGCCAUUAUUGAUGAUGUAUGAAGGGAACCAAGAACUUCCAACAUAGGGUGGGUACCUCAUGGGCUAGGCUGCCCAGAUGGGACAACUGGCUGCCUCCUCCUGAACAUGUCCAUCCCCCUCUCGGGAUUCUGCUCAGUUCUCUGUUCUUGCCACCUGGACAAGAGGGAGAAGCCUCUCCCCAUCGUCUUGGAGAGCAAACGCCCAUUCCAACCACCACAGACCUCCUUAUGGCAGUCAGCCACAGGGGUGGUUUCUUCCCUCCACCAUUUGCCUCCGGUUUUUCCUGCCUUCCUAAAAGAGCUGUGCUAUGCUGUCCCCACUCAGCUGGAGACUCUGGCUGAAGGCAGGAGUAGGAGGCUCAGGGGGUCGCCACCCCUUGCUCUUCCUGGCAGAACCACAAGCCCAGUGGAGGGACCCUGAAGGGUGCCCAUUCCGGAGCAGUGGGGAUGACACCCAGGAGAGGCAACAUGGCGGGUAAGCACUGAGCAUUGCUUCUGCAUGUCGUGUGUCUGAUGAGGACUGCCUGCCUGGCAGAAACAACUGCCAGGGAGGACAGAGAGCAGCAAGCCUGGUGAGCAUGGGGCAAUGACACCCUGAGAAGGCAUGGGCAUGCCCCAGAGGGGUGAGUCCCCUGUCCAUGCAUGAACCUUGGCCAUUCAUUCCUCUAUGAGUGCCCCUCUACAGCUGUGGCACCUUUGUCCCCUUUGUAUUUCCCUUUCCAUACAGGGAGCACACACUAGAGAGGCAUCUGCAGGAUGAAUGGGUGCAUCUAUUCCUCUACUGAUAGUAUGGAUAUUUGUGGGAACCGGGCACACAGAGUGAUCACACUGAUAGAAAGCCCUGCACAGAAGGAAUAUUGGCAUCCAUUCUACCCACUCAUAGUAUGUAUAUUUGUAGAAAACUAUUCCCUGGAUUUAGGACAGGUUAAAUAAGAUGCAGGGAUAGAUAUCUGGAUACAAAAUACUAGUCACUAAGUAUUAAGCAACAGCUAUGUGACGAGCAUUAAAUCAAUCACCGAGUAUACAAAGAUAAGCAAAAAUAGACCCAUUUCCUCAGGAAGCUUAUAAUAGAAUAGGGGAAGCAACAUGCAAAUAGCUAGGUACAAGCCAAAUAUAGAAAAGAUUAACUGGAGAAAAUUUCAGAAUUAGCCUUUUUUUUUAAACUCUUUAGUCACGUUUUAUUUUUCCCGAAUUACAUGUAAAAACCAUUUUUUUGACCUUGGCUUUCUAACAUUUUGAGUUCCAAAUUCUCUUCCUCCCUUUUCUUUCUGACUCCCUCAUCCUGAGAUGGUAAACAAUAUUAUAUUGGUUGUAAGUGGAUUGCAAAGUUUCUUGCAGAAGAAGGGAUUGAAGCGGGAGAUUGGAGGAAGCUGGGGAACCCAGGUGGUUUAGGAUGAGGCGUCAGAGUAUUUCAGGCAUGGAGAACAGCCGAAGAAAAAAAUACAGUUAGAAGAUGGAAUGUCCAGUGCGGGGAGAAAGCAAGGAGGACAGUGCCACUGGAUCAAAGUGUGAGAAAGGGAAUAAGGUAUAAUGAAACUGGAAAGACAGGAAAGGUUCAGGUGAUGAAGGGCUUAUAACGCCAACUGGAAGACUGAAUAUAUUACUUUUAGAUAUACUCAUGAAACAGUAUGAGAAGACAUAUGAAACUUUUUUUUUCCCUGUAAAUUGCUCAGGUACAUUUAGAUGCUUGUACAAUCCUAGAGAGAUAAAAUAUUUGGAGACAGAGCAUUGUUUCCUUUUGAUGAAGAGCACUUGUUUGACUAGUUUGAAACCUUGCUGGGCAGAGAAAUUUACCAAUGAAUGGACAUUGAUUAAUGAAAAUGAAGGACUAAUUAAUUAAUGUAAAAUGUAUGCUUACAAUAGGUACUGGUCCCAAGAAUGUUAAUGAAUUUAGAUUCCUUCAAUUCCAGAGUAUCACCUAGUGAAAGUAGACAUUUUGCCAUCAAUGGACUCAUAUAUUCCUGGAUGAGACCCAAGUAAGCCUUGGGUUGACCAUGCAAUCAAUGCACUUCAUCCUUGGCCAACAAAUGAUGUUGAAAAAGGGCUAGACUUUUGGCAAGUGUGAAAGUUGCAGCCUCUGGACUUGUGCAGAAUCUGCAGGCAGCAUAUCCUGAAGUACUCUUUCAAGAAGGGUUGCAAAAGCUUAUAGAAGAAAUUUGACAGUGAGGAGAUAGAGUAAAUGGAUGCUAAAUUUCAAAAUGAAAGGUAGAAGCUCCCUACUUUGGUGGUGUGUGGACAAUCUGUUACAGAAGCCAAGAAAAAAAAGCAGUAAGAUCAGAUGAACAAAAUGAAGUCAAAACUAUAGGUGAGGAUACUUCUAACUGAAGCAGAAAAAGUGAUUGGAUGAUGAACACUUGAGACAGGGUCAAGGUGAUUUGACGAUAAAUUGGGGAGUGAUCUGAUACUAGAAGGCGUAAUUUCAGCUAGUCCCAGGAUCUCUUAUGUCUGGGGCAGGAACUUCUUAUUGGCAGCCCAUGCUCAAAUUUAAAAGUAAAGUCUCUUUAGAAAGGAACAGAGGUACCCUAUAUCAAGGUAAGGCCAAAAUGGGUAUUUUAUUUAGACAUAAAAGGUGAUACUAUAAAUUAGGGGAACAUAGGAUAGUUAACCCGUCAGAUCUAUGGAAAAGGGAAAAAUUUAUGACCAAACCAGAAAUGGAGGACAUUACAAGAUGUAAAAUGAUAAUUUUGUGUAUGAAAUUAAAAAGACUUUGCACAAAUGAAUGUAACCAAGAUCAGAAAGGGAACAAAUGGGGUGGGGCAGAGAAUUUUUAUAACAAAUUUCUCUGAUAAAGGUUUCAUUUCUCAAAUAUAUAAAGAACUAGGUAAAAAUUUUAAGACUACAUGUCAUUCCCAAAUUGACACAUGAUCAAAUGAUAAGAAUAGACAGUUUUCAGAUAAGGAAAUCAAAGCUAUCAGUAAUCAUAUGGAAACAAAUGUUCUAAAUCUCUCUUGAUUAGAGAACUACUAAUUAAAACAGCUCCAAGUUAUCACCUUACAUCGAUUGGACUGGCCAAUGUGAUGGUAAAGGAAAGUGAUAAAUGUUGGAGAGGAUAUGGCAAAAUUGGGUCAGUAAUGCAAUAUUGAUGGAGUUUUGAACUGAUCCAACCAUUCUGGUAGACAAUUUGGAACUAUGCCCAAAGAACUAUAGAAAAAUGCAUAACCUUUGGUCCACUACAAGGUCUGUAUCACAAAGAGCUAAAAAAGGGGAAGGGGGAAUAUUUGUUUGUACUAAAAUAUAGCAGCUCUUUUUGUGGUGGAAAAAAAUGGGAAAUUGAGUGGAUUGGGGAAUGGCUAAACAUAUUGUGGUAUAUGAUAGUGAUGGAAUACUAUUAUGCUGUAAGGAAUGAUUAAAGGGCUGAAACUUAUGCAUAGUGAAAUAGGUCGAACCUGAAGAACAUUAUAGAAAGUAAUAGCAAUAUUGUGGAAUAUGAAAGAUUUAGCUAUUCUCUGCAAUACAAUGAUCUAGGACACUUCUGAGGGACUUAAUAUAGGGAAUGCUACUUAUCUCCAAAGAAAGAACUAUUGGAAUCUGUAUGUAGAUCAAAGCAUACUAUUUUCAUAUUUAGUUUAUCUGAGUUUUUAUUUGGGAGUUUUAUAUGUAUUACAAAAAUGAAGAAUAUAGAAAUAUGUUUUGCAUGAUAAUAUAUGCAUAACCCAGAUUAAAUUGCUUACCAGCUCUGAGAAGGGGAAGGGAAGGGAAAUAGACAAUUUGUAUCAUAUAACUUCUGGAAGCUUAUAUGGAAAAUUGUUAUUACAUAUAACUGGUAAAAGAAAAUAUGUUUACUAGAAAAAUGAACAGAUGUAAUGAAAGAGUAGUUUCACUUGGAGAAGGAAAGCAUCAGACCCAGAGGUCACUGAAGUCUAAUAUUAGGAUAGAGAUGAUAAUUGAAUCUGUUCAAGCUGAUGAGACCACUAAGUAAACCAAUAUGCUGGAAGAAGAGAAGAGGGGUCAGGAUAGAACCCCGGGGGAAUAUUCAUCACUAUCAGGGAUGACCUGAAUAAAGAUCCAGCAAAAGAGACUGAGGAAGAAUGCCCAGAUUAAUAAGAGGAUCAUGAGAGAGGAGUGUGACAAAAACUUAGAAGAAAGUAUCACUGAGAAGAGUGUGAUUAGCAGUGUCAUAGACAACAGAAAAUUCAAGAAAUAUGAAGAUGGAGAAAAGGUCAAUGGUAAUUAAGCCAUUACUAGUAACAUCAACGGUAAUUGAAUUAUGAAGUUGGAAGCUAGACUUUGGAGAAUUAAAAUAGUGAGAAAGAGGAAGUGGAGGCAUUGAUUGUGGAUGGUCUCUAGGAGUUUGGCCACAAAAUUAGGAAAGAUAUGAGAAUAGUUUGCAUGGAUGGAAGGAUGCAGUGGGUGUUUUUUAAGGAUAGAGAAGAUCUGGGUAUAUUUAUAGGCAAAAACAAAGAUAAAUGAAGAUAAGUGAGAAUGAGAAUUAUAGAAGGAGCAAUGUCAUUGAGGAGAUAGGAUGGAAAUGUAAUGAAAUAGUAUUGUGCUAUAAAAAAUUGACAAGCAGGAGGAGCUCAGAAAACCUGGAGAGACACAAACUGAAGCAGAGUAAAAUGAGCAGAACCAUGAAAGCGUUGUACACAAUGACAGGAAUACUAGUCAAUGAACAACUGAAUGACUUUCAGCAACACAGUAUAGCAGAAUAUUUGUUGGUUAAUUAAGAACUAAUUAGGAAACUGUAUACUAUCAUUGAUUGAUGGAUAAAUGAGAGAUUGAGUGAGUUGAAUUUCUUUAAGCCAGAAUAGAAUCUCAAGAAUCACUCAUGGGAAGUGUAAGAAUUAAAGUUUAAUGGUUUGACUAAAAUAUAUGAAAUUUAUAAAUAAUAUGGUAGUCCCCGAUUCAAAGUUAUUGCUUCAAAGUAUAAAUGACUUCAAUAGCUUUUAUUUACAAAAGAGGUGGAAAGAAAGCAGAGAAAUACAAAAGGGUAGAGAAGACAUUAGCUUAUUUAAUUAAGUAUUGCUCAGGUACUUGACUCAGCCAGGACUUGUUGACAUUCAACCAGAAUUUAACUCUCUCCAGAAGACAGGGAGGGAUAGCCAGCUAUCCACUCACCCAAGUUCCUUCCAAGAGGCAAGUCAAAAUGAUGACCCGAGCUGAAGGUGAUUCCUGAGGGCUACUUCCUUGAGCUACCCUUCUUCCUUAAGCAGACUUCCUUCUUGAAGUCCAACUCCUUCUUUGACAUCAACUUCCUUCUUGGAGUUGACUCUCCUAGCCCCAGAAAUUAAGGGCCUUUUAUAGUGGCUUCUUAUCCCUUCCUAUUUUCACAAGGGCCAAUCACAGCUUCCAAAUUACCCAGCACUGCCCAGAGGGCAGUGUUUGUGUGAACCACUUAUCUUCUGGAGAGGUUAAUACUCAUCAAAAGAGUUCACAAAUUCCUGGCUGACUGUGGUGUGAAUUCUCAUUUCCUGGCAGAUUGAGUUGAAAGGGUGGAGAGCUCCUCCACCUAGUGCUAAGUAGGGUGUUCAAGCUUUUGUUGAUUCAAUUCAAAAGUAGAGAAAGGAGAGUUAAUCCUGUCUCACAAUUUAGUGAGGUACUAAGUAGGGAUACUUAAGUUACUGUUAACCAAAGUGUUAACUUAAAAUAGACAAAGGGAAUAAAGGAUUCCCUUUUACAAAUGUAAACUCAAAGAGAACAAAGAAUUUCCUUUUAUAUGAAGAGAAUUUUCUCAAGGAGCUUUGGAAAGGACAGUUGGACCAACAAACUCACUCUUUGAACAAUUCUGAAUAAGGAUGAUUGUUUGAGGUGACUGCUCUGUGAGUUGGGAGAAAUUUCUGGUCAAUUUACUCUUGAAAGCAUUCUAGCAGACCAGAGACCAAGGAUUGUAUUGGGUGCAGUACCCAUGCUGAGCCCAGUAGGUGGCAGAAAAGAGUGAUCUUGUCUGAGUGAAGAAAGUUUGUGAAGAUUCUAAAAGCUCCUUUUUUUCAUCUGGGCAGCAAGAAAAGAAACCUGCCUGAUUCCUCUCUAUUUAUAAGGUUAUAUUUAAUACAGGAUAGAAAGCUAGAUAUUUGGGGAUUUAGAUAGAGUAGAAUAAGAAGGAUCACUCUUGGUGAUCAUGAAGAAAUCCCUUGCGGGAUAGAUUUUGGGGGUUGGUUUAGUUAAGAUAAUUUUAGAGUUAGGGAAUUGUAAUUCUUAUUUCAAAAUCUCCAAUUUCCUUUUCCUAUCACUGUUUUAUAGAAGAUUUAUCUCCAGUCAAGUGUUUUCAACUACUGGUCCAUCAAACUCUCAACUCUCAACUCCUAACAACUAAAUUUGUUUAUAGCCUAGUAAUAAGCUAUUAUAUCUUCAAUCUAUAACUGAACAACUCGCCCUCCCCCAAAUAACAGUUGGCAAGCCAUAUAUAGGAAAAAAAGGAUCUAGAAACAGGUUUCUAAUAUUGUACAGAGCAGACAUAAACAGAGUGUCUGAGUAUAAUGGUUUGCCUCCCUUAGCCACAGGGGCACCAAAGGGCAGCACCUCUCUCCACUGCCAGCACCAAUUAACACAGACUUAGAUUCUGCAGAGAAUAUUAUGGAGUACUUAUACUUGGUAAACGUUACCACCAUGUUUUCAAAGACAAUUUCAGUUCCAUCAGAGGAAUACCUGUACAUGACAUAAUAUACCAAAUUCUAUGUUUGACCCUUUUGGAAGUCUUACAGUGGCUUCCAUUAGGGGGUUUUGGACUUUUGACACUGAUUUUAUUUAGGAUGUUUAUCUAUUACAUCCUAAAUAUUUUUACCUCCAUAAAAUUAAAACAUUUAAGGAACUAUGAAAGAGAUCUAAAGGUGCAAUAUUUGGAGGGAGUCAUACAAGGCCAAGGCCAAUUGAUUGAGGAAAUGAGAAAGAAGUUGAAUAUGGGCAAUGAGGUAGAACAGGCAACAGCAGUAGACACAAAACUUCAACAAGAGACAGCUGAGUUGGAACAUGUUGUGGGAGGGUUUUUCUCACUGUGUGAGGUAUCUAUGCUUACAAAUAACAAACAAAUGGUUACUAUUGAACAAAGAAAGAAUUUUACACAAUCAGACCUUGAUAGUUUAAAGAAAAACACUUCCCUUCGAAGAAGAACCCAUUACUGUAAUAAGGAAAUUUAAAAAAAUCAUAAAACAGUAUGACUCCACUUAAAAUGAUAUGGACAUUUUGUUGAAUGAAUUACAUGACAAAUGCGAAAAAGGGAAAAUUGUCUCAGACAUAGAGAAGUGGCCAGAAUUUCCCCCAGAUUGAUACAUGAAUAUUCCUGAGGAUUAUGAGGAGUUAGAGCACGAGAGGCACUUUUUAACAGAAAGAGGCAAAAUUCUAACUGACCUGGGGCUUGGUCAAAAUUUGAAAGGAUUCAUGAACAAAUAGAUAGACAUGGGAAACGUUACCUGUCCUUGGACAUUCUGAAAGAUAAAGAUGUUAAAUAGUUGAAGUGACAAUUCAUGAAAAACUCAUAAAAGGUUAUCGGGCAAUAUUUUCAGCAAAAUUGUCCUGACUGGGUGGAAAUGACCUUAGAUAUCAAGAGUUGCUACAUAUAUUUUUCAAGCUGACCAAGACAAGAGAAUGACACAAUAGAUUUAGUGGAGAACCUAAGAAAAGAGAUUGGAGAGCUAAAAAUGAAAAUUGACAAAAAUGACAAGCAAGACAAGACUGUAAUAGUACCAAUGAAGGAAUUUAAGCAACCAAGGCAGUUUUUUAAGCACCAAAGAAAUUAUAGGAACCAAGGUUUGCGUUGCUACUUUUGUGGCAACUUUGGUCAUUUCAUGAGACAAUGUAGAUCCUGGGGAAGGCAAAACGGAGGUUUUUACAGGGGCACUGGAAAUUACUAUUGUGGCAAUAGAUUUUAUGACAGAGGGUAUAAUAACCACUAUCCAGGAUUUAGAGGCAGUGGGUUCCCUGAUAGGUUUCAGUUUGGGUAUCAAGACAGGAGACCUAGUUAUCCAAAUGAGUAUGAAGGAAGGUAUUACCCAGGGUCUGCCAAAACUGAAGACAUGUAGAAAAUGCAAAAUCACAUAAAGGAGACCAUCCCAAAUACUCCCAGGUGGUCAGUAGCAGCAUCCCCAAACACAAUGCACAAAAGGGGGAACAUGGGGGAAGUACAUUAUGAACGUUUCCCCGGGGAAGUAGACUAGGUGAUAAUGAUGAGAACCAGGAUAUACAAGCACAGGCUAUAGAUAUAGAAGAAAUGCAAGUGGAAAUAAAUGAAUGAAUUGGAGAAUGAAGGACAGGAAGAUGAGUUUAAAUUUCCUGAUCCAACAAUCAUGACUCCUGUUAUCCUGGUCUACACUUCACCUUGAAGUACAGAACCCCAUGUCACUCUAAAAGUGGAAAAUGUAAUUUAUGAUUGCCUUAUAGACACUGGAGCCUCUAAAUCAAUGUUGAAGAAGUCACCUCUGAUAGAUUAUAUGAUAGUGUGGGAUCUAUGCAAGUUGUAAUUUCAGGAACACCACUAGAAGUGAAAAAGUUAACACCUCGUAUGGUCUCCUUGAGGCCACUGAGUAUGAAUCAUCCCUUCCUGCUCAUGCCAAAUUCACCUGCAAGUCUUUGGGGUAGAGAUUUACUUUGCAUACUGUGGGCUACUAUCGUUUGCAAACUGUGGGCUACUAUCGUUUGCAAACUGUGGGCUACUAUCAUAUGCACACCAGAAGGAGACAUUUUUCUAGAACUGCCAGAAAAAUCUUUGGAACUUUUUCCUAUAUUGUUAUUGGAAAGCCAAGAUCCUGAGAUAGAGAAGUCAGAGAUAUAAGAUUUCCAUAUUCCUGAAGGUUUAUGGGCUAUGUCAUCUACAGAUGUGGGAUUAUUAAAGUAAGCAGUGCCUGUAAAUAUUAUUACCAGAGAUUGUCCACUAUCAUGCAUCCCACAGUACUCGCUAUCAAAAGAAGCAAUAGAGGGAAUUACACUUAUUAUUGAAUCCUUGAUACAGCAGAAGAUUUUCAUAGUAUCCUUCAUGUCUGAAUAUAACACCCCGAUCUAGCCAGUGAGAAAGUUGAAACUGGAUGAAAAGGGCAGACCAUUCUAUCAAUUUGUUGAAGAUCUGAGAGCCAUUAACAAUCAUGUGAUCAAAAGACACAACCAUCCAGCCACAACAAUAUCCUCAAUUCCCAGCAAUGCAAAGUUGUUUUUUUUUUAUGGUAGUUGACCACUGUUCUGCAUUUUUCUCCAUCCCUAUUCACGAGGAUUCCCAAAAGAUCUUUGCCUUCACCUGGAAAAGUAUUAAUUCAUAUGGCAUCAAAUGCCUCAAGGAUUCUGCAAAAGUCCUUGUUUUCCCAAAUUUUGACUGAAGACCUGGCUAACAUCCAUUUUAAAGAUAGCAGACUGAUCCACUUUGUUGACAAUCUCCUGUUGGCUUUACCACCAGCCAAGGUGUGCCAAAGAGAUAGCAAGCACCUUCUGAUUGAAUUGUUUAAAAGUGUAGAAGCAACAUCUCUUAAACAUGGAGGUGCCCUGGCUGCUAUUGGUUCCAGUUGAGCAGAGUAGUAUGUGAUAGGUUUUUGUACUGACCAAAAAACUCUGUAAGCACCCCAGAUGCAACUCCCUUUCAUGGACAUACAAAAUGAAAGGCUUUUUGUAGUCCGGAAUGCCCAGAGCCCGUGUAGAUAAAAUGGCAUGUUUCAAUUGUGAUAUGGCAUUGAGGUGUUCUGUUUAAUUCUUUAAUACUAUCUUUUUUCAGCUCUUUUAAUGGUUUUACCAGUUCCCCCAAACCUGGUAUCCACUAUAUACACAAUUCUGUCAUCCCCAGAAUGACUCUCAGCUGCUUUUUGAUGUUUGGAGCUGUUACCUUUUGAAUAUUAGCUAUCCUCUUCUCUGAGAUAUAUCUGGACCCUUCUGUUAAUACAAAGUCCCUGUAUUCCAUUCAGGGUAAGCACCAUUGGACUUUAGAUUUAGAGAUUUUAUUAACAACUUCUACAACUGUAAAGGUUGUGGGAAAAGAUCUGUGGUUGCAUUGCUUGUAUGUGAAAAAAAUAUCAAGUGAAGAAAAUAACUGUUGAAAAAGGCUGCAGGCACAGUUGGUAAUCAAGAGGAAGAGGAGACAAAAAUCAACACAACUACAACACAACAAGGACAAUGCAAAGACAACUGAACACAGAUGACAGGCUUACUACAGACAAGGUUUCUUAAGGACAAUGCACUGUAAAAACACAUUACAAGAACAUUGCUACAAUCAAGAGGACAAAUUUAGCAACAUUCUAUAAGAGCAACACUCCAGAAGAAAAACUGGCCACAUAUACUUUUGCAAGCAAACUGAAGAAGGUACCGAUGAAGAUUCUGAUGAUAGGACACUGUGCAUUUCAAUGGAACAGAUUUGAAAUAAGACGAGUUUGUAUAUUAGCAUUUAUAUGGUAAGUAUAAAUCAUUUGGGGUUUAGGAAUAGUUAUCAUUAGGAUACAUACAAAAUCACAUAGAAACGUUAGAAGUUCUAGAAAGCUGCAUAUAAUACUAAGGACAUACUAGUAUAAAAGAUAACUUAAUUCAUAAGAAUUUUAUAUCCAAUUUACAGAGACUUACUAUUCACAACAGGGGGGAGAUUUUAAAUUCUUCCAAAGGAGUGAAUUCUAGUAUGUAAAUAUGUAUAUAUUUGUGUGUGUAUGUUUAUAUAUAAAUAUGUAUAAUAUAUAUAUGAAGAUAUGUAUGUUUGUGUAAAAUAGGUUGUGCAUAGUUUUUAUUACAUGAUGUGUUCUGAGUUGAGGUUGCAAUAGUGUUAGAUAGGUUUUCUUUUUUUGUAACUAGAAUAGAAUAGGAAAAGUUUGCAGUUUCUGUAGUUUAUAAGUUGAUUUGGAAUUGUGUUAUUCUUAGGUAGAAAUUGUUUUAUAUUAGAAUACUAAAGUUUGGUUCUGUUUCUAUUUCCAUAGUGUUUGUAAGAUAAAUGUUAAAAGUUUUAUCUUUAGAAUAGAAGUUUUCUGUACUAGCAUAGAAAAAUUGUAUUCUUUUGUUAUUACAUUGUUUUGAAUUUGGAGUUUUGUAAUUGUAAUUUGAUUUGUAUGGAUAUAAAAUUUUCCUUACUUUUUCUUUUCUAUCCUUUUGAUUCUCUUUCUGUCCUUAGAAUAGGAUAGCUUAGAAUAGGGUUAGAGUGGUGAUAGAAUAGUACAAGGUUAUAGUUCUAUUUGGGAAAAACUAUUGCUUUAGGUAUAAAAUAAAGUAGUGUGGUUUAUUAAGAGUCAUUUAGGGAGCCAUGGCUCCCAAAAGACUCACAGGGGGGUUUUAGCAUUUAGUUAGUUAAUUAAUUAAGAAUUAAUUAGGAAAUAGGAUAUUCUUAUUCAUUGAUGGAUAAGUGAGAGAUUGAGUGAGUUGGAUUUCUUUAAGCCAGAAUAGAAUCUCAAGAGAGAAUUUUAUCAAGAAGUUUUGGAAAAGACAGUUAGACCAACAAACUCACUCUUUCAAUGAUCCUGAAUAAAGAAGGUUGUCCUAGGAGGCUGCUCUGUGCGUUGGGAGAAAUUUCUGGUCAAUUUAUCUCUUGAAACUAUCCUAGCUAACCAGAGACCCAAGAAGGAUUGUAUUGGGUGCAGUACCUGUGCUAAGCCCAGUAGAGAGCAGAAAAAGAGUGAGUUUGUCUGAGUGGAGAAAGUUUGUAAAGAUUCUAAAAGCUCCUUUUUUUUUUUUUAUCUGAGCAGCAGGGGAAGACAUCUGACUGAUUCCUCUCUGUGUAUAAGGUUAUAUUUAGAAUAGAAUAGAAAGCUAGAUAUUUGGGGAUUUAGAUAGAGUAGAAUAAGAAGGAUCACUCUUAGUAAUCACGAAGAAAUCCCUCAUGGGAUAGAUUUUGGGGGUUGGUUUAGUUAAGAUAAUUUUAGAGUUAGGGAAUUACAAAUCCUAAACUUCCCAUUUCAAUAUCUCCAAUUUUCUUUUCCUAUCACUGUUCCUAUAGAGGUAAAAAUAUAAAUAGGUUCUUAUAGAAGAUUUAUCUCCUGUUUACCUGUUUAUAGCCUAGUAAGUAGGCUAUUAUAUCUUCAAUCUACAAUUGAACUCCACCCCCCAAAUAACAACAGUGAUCCUCAACCUCAACACACCCAUGAUAAAAGUGCCAUCUGUUUCCAGAGAUGAACUAAGGAGUCUGAAUUCAGAGCAAAGCAAACUUUUUUUACUUAAAAAAAUUUUUUUUUGUUGGAGUUUCCUUCUACAAAAGGAUUAAUAUGUAAAAGUGUUUUACAUACUUGCACUUGUAAAAUCUAUAUGAGACUACUUACUAUUGUGAAGAUUAAAUUUAACUCUCCCCUGAUUGUGAAAAUGAAAUUAACUCUCCCUUGAUUGUGACCCCUGCCUAUUUCAGAUUUAAUCACCAAAGGUAUAAACACUCCAUUCAAACUUGAGUGGGGGAGGUCUGUAACCCAUGUAUGCAAUAGUGGAUGACUAAUCAGAAUUGACUGACUACUUCCUGGGCAGUCCUAAGCAAAGCUUUAGACUAUGAUUUGUCCACAUAAAAAGUGGAGGAAGACACAGGAAGUGAUGCAAAAGAAAGUGUCUUUAAAAGGAAUUACAACUUCCUGUGAGACACAAUUCUUCAUUCUUUGGAGUGGAGGCUGGUGGAGAAUCUUCUGACUGGACCCAAGACCCUGUUCCUGGUGAGGCUGUUCUAAAAUCUCUUCCUUUGAACUGACAUGUGGUGAGUGAAAAGCUGACUCUUUAACUGCUGAAUUUUUCUGAAGAAACUGGUCUCAGGAGAGACUUGCCUCUUGAGAGUGAAUUCCCCACCUAAGGACUAACUCUCCCUGCCCAGGUUGAGCCAAGGGCCAGGAGUAAAUUACUUAGUGCUUAGGCUAGAUAUCCUACCCUAUCCUCUCUCUGAUUUUCUUACUUCACUCUAUAUUUUGUAAAUUGUAAAUGAAUCUCUUUGGAAUAAAUAAAAUCCCUGGCAACCCUAUUUUUAAUAUAA